ensembl:lncRNA
CAUUAUUUUAAAAUUAUAGUCAUUCUAACGGAUGUGAAGUGGAAACUCAUUGUGGUUUUGAUUUUCAUUUCCCUAAAGACUAAUGAUGUUGAACAUCUUUUCAUGUGCUUGUUGGCCAUUUGUAUAUCUUUUAUGGAGAAAUGUCUAUUAAAGUCCUUUGCCUAUGUUUUAAUUGAAUUGUUUCUCUUUUCGUUGUUGAGUUAUAGGAGUUCUUUCUAUACUCUGGAUACUAGACCUUUGUCAGAUGUAUGAUAUGCAAAUAUGUUUCCCAUUCUGUAGGUUAUCUUUUCACUUUCUUGAUAAUGACUUUUGGUACAUAAAAGUUUUUCAUUUUGGUAAAGUCUUAAUUUAUCUGUUCUUUGUUUCAUCGCUCAUGGUUUGGGUGUCAUAUCUAAGAAUCCAUAACUAAAACCAAGUUAAUUCAGUUUUAUUCCUGUGUUUUCCUCGAAGAGUUUUGUGAUUUUUAACUAUUAGACUGCUGAUCCAUUUAGAGUUAAUUUUUGUAUAUCGUGUGAAGUAGGGGUCCAACUUAAUUCCUUUGCAUGUGAUUAUCCAAUUGUCUCAGAGUUGUUUGUUGAGGAGACUGUUCUUUCCCCAUUAAGUAGUCUUAGCACUCUUGUCAAAAAUCAAUUGGUCAUAAAUGUAUGUGUCUAUUUCUGGACUCUCAAUCCUGUUUCAUUGGUCUAUACAUUUAUCCUUAUCUCUGUUACCACACUCCCCGUCACUUCUUUUUAUACAAAAGUAUUUUUACUCUGUUUAAGAAAUAUAAAAAUAAAAUUUUCAUUACAAAUAAUUGUUUAUGAAGUUGGUUCGAAGAUCAUGGAUUGAAUACAUGCUACAUCUCCUUCUUAUCAAAAUCUCUAGAAAUGACAUAAGUAAAUUAAUUACUUAAUAGAUAACAAAGCUCAAAAAUAAGGAGAAUCAGAGAUAUGGUGAAUCAGAAACUAUGAAGAAUGACUAAGAAAAGAAAGAAUCUGGGAUUUAAUUGUAAAUGUACUCCUCUAUGGUCAUAACACUGAUGGGACUGUCAGCGAAGAGGGCACACGCCACUCUCUUCCAAAGCAGGCUACCCAUGGAGAUCUAGCAAAUAGUCUAGGAGAGAUUUUCAAAUAUUAAGAUUAGCGUACAAACAAGUAUCAUCAGAUAUCUGAGGAAAGCCCCUACCAUCGAAGAAAAUGGCAGAAGGUAUACUCGGAUAAAUAGAAUUAAUAGGGCAAUUUGAACAGAAUUUAGAAUAAAUAUAAUUAAUAAUUAAUGUAUUUGGAGUUAUGUAAAGGAUUUAUAAAAAAGAAUCAGCUCAAGUUUAUGCAAACAAAGAUGGGCUCAGUAAAAUUAAAAGUCAAUUGAUUACCUUAGUGGCAUUUUGGAGCUAGGUAAAAAAAAUAAAAAAUUGUAGCAUUUAUAAUUCAUAUCAAGGAUUUCCCUAAAAUACAGUACAAAAGGACAAAAUAUAGACAAUAUGAAAGGAAAGGUCACAGAAGACAAAUCUUCCACUGUCUAUACAAAUGGAAAAGAUAUACAAGGACAAAAAAGUUACAACUAAAUAGCCACAAUUCUUAAAUAAUAGAAAAACACUUCCCAGAAUUUAAGAAAAACAUAAUUUAUCUCAUCAAAAGGGUCCACUAAUUGCUAAGCAGAAUCCAUUAGUUGAAAUCCCUUACAUAUCAAUAUGGAAGAAAUUUACUAAAAGUUCUUGAGAGAUUUCCAACAAAGAAAUACAAAAGAAGGUUAACUAAGCAAUAGCUAACAUAACAAUGGACAAUCUCAAAAUUUUGUAGGAAAACAUCCUUGAACAUAAAAUUCUAUACCUUAGCCAAUUAUCCAUCAACUGUGGUGGCAAAAUAAAGAGAUUUUCAUUUAAUCCCAAGACUUAGACAUUUAUAUCUCAGAGACUCUCUCUAAAUCAAUUACUACUGGAUAUGCUGUAUUAAAAAAUAAAUUGAAAUUUCACAGUAAUAAGUAAGAUACAAAGAACAAUGAAAGCAAAGAAAUCAGUAAACAUAUUAUUAGCUCUAAACAAAUUCUUUAACAAAAUUUUAAAUUAAAUUCUGCAGAAAAUGAAAGUACUAAUAUGGGAGGCUUGUAGCUUUGAAGUGAGGGUGAAUGAAGGAAACUAUUAAAGUCCUUAUUUGGCUUGAGGGCAAGAGGUGAAUACAGUUAACUCUAGAAAUUAACUUUAGGCUGGGUAAUGGUCCCCCAAAG